AUUGAACGCUGGCGGCAGGCCUAACACAUGCAAGUCGAACGAGUGGAGGACGGGUGAGCUAUGGCUUGGAAACUGCCUGACGGAGGGGGAUAACUCCUGGAACCGGUUGAUAAUACCGCCUACUAUCCGAUGUGCCCAGUUGGGAUUAGCUAGUGGGUGGGGUAACGGCCCACCAAGGCGACGCUCCCUAGCUGGUCUGCGAGGAUGACCGGCCACACUGGGACGGAGACACGGUCAAGACUCCUACGGUAGGCAGCAGUGGGGAAUUUUGCACAAUGGGCGCAAGCCUGAUGCAGCCAUGCCGCGUGUAUGAAGAAGGCCUUCGGUUUGUAAAGUACUUUCGGCAGGGAGGCGUUACCCACAGAAGAAGCACCGGCUAACUACGUGCCAGCAGCCGCGGUAAUAC
rnacentral:rRNA from 1 species